rnacentral:rRNA from 1 species
AUUGAACGCUGGCGGCAGGCUUAACACAUGCAAGUCGAGCGGAGAUGAGGUGCUUGCACCUUAUCUUAGCGGCGGACGGGUGAGUAAUGCUUAGGAAUCUGCCUAUUAGUGGGGGACAACAUUCCGAAAGGGAUGCUAAUACCGCAUACGCCCUACGGGGGAAAGCAGGGGAUCUUCGGACCUUGCGCUAAUAGAUGAGCCUAAGUCGGAUUAGCUAGUUGGUGGGGUAAAGGCCUACCAAGGCGACGAUCUGUAGCGGGUCUGAGAGGAUGAUCCGCCACACUGGGACCGAGACACGGCCCAGACUCCUACGGGAGGCAGCAGUGGGGAAUAUUGGACAAUGGGGGGAACCCUGAUCCAGCCAUGCCGCGUGUGUGAAGAAGGCCUUUUGGUUGUAAAGCACUUUAAGCGAGGAGGAGGCGCUCUAGGCUAAUACCCUAGAUGCGUGGACGUUACUCGCAGAAUAAGCACCGGCUAACUCUGUGCCAGCAGCCGCCGCCGUAA